AAAUUGAAGAGUUUGAUCAUGGCUCAGAUUGAACGCUGGCGGCAGGCCUAACACAUGCAAGUCGAGCGGAAACGAGUUAUCUGAACCUUCGGGGAACGAUAACGGCGUCGAGCGGCGGACGGGUGAGUAAUGCCUAGGAAAUUGCCCUGAUGUGGGGGAUAACCAUUGGAAACGAUGGCUAAUACCGCAUGAUGCCUACGGGCCAAAGAGGGGGACCUUCGGGCCUCUCGCGUCAGGAUAUGCCUAGGUGGGAUUAGCUAGUUGGUGAGGUAAGGGCUCACCAAGGCGACGAUCCCUAGCUGGUCUGAGAGGAUGAUCAGCCACACUGGAACUGAGACACGGUCCAGACUCCUACGGGAGGCAGCAGUGGGGAAUAUUGCACAAUGGGCGCAAGCCUGAUGCAGCCAUGCCGCGUGUGUGAAGAAGGCCUUCGGGUUGUAAAGCACUUUCAGUCGUGAGGAAGGC
rnacentral:rRNA from 1 species